GCAAUCCAAACUCUCUGCCUGAACAAGCAUCCUUAUGAAGCACUGAGAUCUAAGCUGCAAUCUCCUGGACUUCUCCUCAUAGAGUCGUUUAGCAAAGAAAGAUAACGGGACGGGAGUGUUUGCUCUAGAACUCUGGGCUGGCUUUCAUCCUGAUAACAGAUCGUCUUGGAUUCUGGUUAUUUCAGUCAGCCAGGUUUUGCUGUGAGACAUGGAGUCAAAAAGUGAAGGGUCAACAUCACUUAGUGAAAAACUGGCUUCUAUUGAGGAUGAAGAAGUUCUCAACAAAAUGCUGGACAAUGCAGCUGAUUUUGAAGAGAGGAGGAUGAUCCGUGCUGCUUUGAGGGAUCUGCUCAAGAAAAAGAGAGGUAAAAUAAUUUCAACCAUCCAUAUAAAACUGAAAGGUGUGGUGCUUUGCACUUAACAGCUGC